rnacentral:lncRNA from 1 species
AGAACGCGUGCCCGGAGGGUGGUAGGUCACCGCGCUCCUAGCACCUGAGACCUGGGGCGCCCCUGGCCUGAGUGAACGCGCCAAUCACGGCUGCACUCUCCUGAACAGGGAACUGGCGGGGCGGGAAAAAUCGACUUGGUUCCGGGUUCGCAAGCGGAUUUACUUUGAAAAAAUUGGAUUUAUGACCCAGCAGUUCCCUUGGUGUCUAUCUCAGAGUAACCCUCGCACAAUGCAUAAAAAGAAAGUCAACAGGCAAAAUACCUUGAGCAUCCCAAAAAGCUGCUGCUAUGACUUCGGCUCUUGACCAGUCUACUUUUGAUUUGACUGGACCACUUGCACCUCUUGCAUAUAAGGACACAACCAGAAGACAUCAAUCUGCAAACCAGAAAGUGG